UACGUAGGGCGCAAGCGUUGUCCGGAAUUAUUGGGCGUAAAGAGCUCGUAGGCGGUCUGUCGCGUCCGUUGUGAAAACUCGAGGCUCAACCUCGGGCUUGCAGUGGAUACGGGCAGACUAGAGUGCGGUAGGGGAGACUGGAAUUCCUGGUGUAGCGGUGGAAUGCGCAGAUAUCAGGAGGAACACCAAAGGCGAAGGCAGUGUCCUGGGGAGUACCUGACGCUCAGGUGCGAAAGCCAGGGGAGCGAACGGG
rnacentral:rRNA from 1 species